AUGGUAAACUAUCCUAACUUAUUAUAUAUCCUGCUAACCGACCUUAUAUCCUUGUCACACCCUGAUCUGUUUCACCUGUCCUCCUUAUUGUCUCCACCCUCUCCAGGUGUUGCUUGUUUUCCCCAGUGUAUUUAUCCCUGUGUUUCCUGUCUCUCUGGGCCAGUGUAUUUAUCCCUGUGUUUCCUGUCUCUCUGGGUCAGUGUAUUUAUCCCUGUCUUUCCUGUCUCUCUGGGUCAGUGUAUUUAUCCCUGUGUUUCCUGUCUCUCUGGGUCAGUGUAUUUAUCCCUGUCUUUCCUGUCUCUCUGGGCCAGUGUAUUUAUCCCUGUGUUUCCUGUCUCUCUGGGCCAGUGUAUUUAUCCCUGUGUUUCCUGUCUCUCUGGGUCAGUGUAUUUAUCCCUGUGUUUCCUGUCUCUCUGGGUCAGUGUAUUUAUCCCUGUGUUUCCUGUCUCUCUGUGCCAGUGUAUUUAUCCCUGUGUUUCCUGUCUCUCUGUGCCAGUGUAUUUAUCCCUGUGUUUCCUGUCUCUCUGGGUCAGUGUAUUUAUCCCUGUGUUUCCUGUCUCUCUGUGCCAGUGUAUUUAUCCCUGUGUUUCCUGUCUCUCUGGGCCAGUGUAUUUAUCCCUGUGUUCCCUGUCUCUCUGGGCCAGUGUAUUUAUCCCUGUGUUUCCUGUCUCUCUGGGCCAGUGUAUUUAUCCCUGUGUUUCCUGUAUCUCUGUGUCAGUGUAUUUAUCCCUGUGUUUCCUGUCUCUCUGGGCCAGUGUAUUUAUCCCUGUGUUUCCUGUCUCUCUUUGCCAGUGUAUUUAUCCCUGUGUUUCCUGUCUCUCUGGGCCAGUGUAUUUAUCCCUGUGUUUCCUGUCUCUCUGUGUCAGUGUAUUUAUCCCUGUGUUCCCUGUCUCUCUGGGCCAGUGUAUUUAUCCCUGUGUUUCCUGUCUCUCUUUGUCAGUGUAUUUAUCCCUGUGUUUCCUGUCUCUCUGGGCCAGUGUAUUUAUCCCUGUGUUUCCUGUCUCUCUGGGCCAGUGUAUUUAUCCCUGUGUUUCCUGUCUCUCUGGGUCAGUGUAUUUAUCCCUGUCUUUCCUGUCUCUCUGUGUCAGUGUAUUUAUCCCUGUGUUUCCUGUCUCUCUGGACCAGUGUAUUUAUCCCUGUGUUUCCUGUCUCUCUGGGCCAGUGUAUUUAUCCCUGUGUUUCCUGUCUCUCUGGGCCAGUUCGUCUUGUAUGUUUCCAAGUCAAUCAGUGGUUUUUCCCUUACUCCUGCCUUUGCUGUUCUUUUUUUCUAGUCCUCCUGGUUUUGACCCUUUCCUGUUUCUGGACUCUGUACCCGCCUGCCUGACCAUUCUACCUGCCUUGACCACGAGCCUGUCUGCCACGCUGUACCUCCUGGACUCUGAUCUGGUUCUCACCUUUUGCCUGUCCAUGACCGUUCUCUUGCCUACCCCUUUUGCAUUAUUAAACAUCUUAAUCUCCAACCAUCUGCCUCCUGUGUCUGCUUCUGGGUCUCGCCUUGUGUCAUGA
rnacentral:lncRNA from 8 species